rnacentral:rRNA from 1 species
UACGUAGGGGGCUAGCGUUGUCCGGAAUCAUUGGGCGUAAAGCGCGUGUAGGCGGUCCGGUAAGUCCGCUGUGAAAGUCGGGGGCUCAACCCUCGGAUGCCGGUGGAUACUGUCGGGCUUGAGUACGGAAGAGGCGAGUGGAAUUCCUGGUGUAGCGGUGAAAUGCGCAGAUAUCAGGAGGAACACCAAUUGCGAAGGCAGCUCGCUGGGACGUUACUGACGCUAAGGCGCGAAAGCGUGGGGAGCGAACAGGA